UACGUAGGGGGCAAGCGUUGUCCGGAUUUAUUGGGCGUAAAGAGCGUGUAGGCGGCUUUACAGGUCCGUUGUGAAAACUCGAGGCUCAACCUCGAGACGCCGGUGGAAACCGUAAGGCUAGAGUCCGGAAGAGGAGAGUGGAAUUCCUGGUGUAGCGGUGAAAUUCGUAGAUAUCGGGAGGAACACCAGUGGCGAAGGCGGCGACCUGGGCCAAUAUUGACGCUGAGGUGCGAAAGCGUGGGGAGCAAACAGG
rnacentral:rRNA from 1 species